UACGUAGGGGGCGAGCGUUGUCCGGAUUUAUUGGGCGUAAAGAGCGUGUAGGCGGCUUGGUAGGUCUGCUGUGAAAACUCGGGGCUCAACCCCGAGACGUCGGUGGAAACCACCUGGCUAGAGUCCGGAAGAGGAGAGUGGAAUUCCUGGUGUAGCGGUGAAAUGCGCAGAUAUCAGGAAGAACACCAAUGGCGAAGGCAGCUCACUGGGACGGUAUCGACGCUGAGACGCGAAAGCGUGGGGAGCAAACAGG
rnacentral:rRNA from 1 species